rnacentral:rRNA from 1 species
UACGAAGGGGGCUAGCGUUGCUCGGAAUUACUGGGCGUAAAGGGUGCGUAGGCGGGUUUUUAAGUCAGAGGUGAAAUCCUGGAGCUCAACUCCAGAACUGCCUUUGAUACUGAGAAGCUUGAGUCCGGGAGAGGUGAGUGGAACUGCGAGUGUAGAGGUGAAAUUCGUAGAUAUUCGCAAGAACACCAGUGGCGAAGGCGGCUCACUGGCCCGGUACUGACGCUGAGGUGCGAAAGCGUGGGGAGCAAACAGG